CCGGGGUGAGUCAGGGCUUACAGCUUUGGGUAGUUGGCCAAGCUUGAGCAAAGCCCCUGAGAAGGCCAGGGAGAAGGAACAGCAGCACAAAGGCCCUGGGGCAGGAUGUUCUGAGGGACAUCGAGGGAGAGUGGGAAAGCUUGCCGUGGGGAUCAGACGAGACCGUGAGAAAACUCCUGGAAGCUCUUUGCAUGCUCUGGGGAGAUGGUCACGUGGAGAUGCCGUGGUUUUUAUUCGUGCCUCAGUUUCCUCCUCUGUCAGCAGUGCUUUGUUACAGGUUAUUAUGAAGAGUAAAGGAAGUACUCGUGAAGUGCUUACACGUA